GGGCUUCUUUUGGCAGCACCUACACUACAAUUGGACUGAUAGAAGAUUACCAUGGCCCCUGCACAAGGAUGAUAUGCAAAUUCAUGAAGUAUUCCAUAUUUUC
ensembl:snRNA U6 U6 spliceosomal RNA